rnacentral:rRNA from 1 species
GAGUUUGAUUCUGGCUCAGGAUGAACGCUGGCGGCGUGCUUAACACAUGCAAGUGAACGGACCCUUCGGGGUUAGUGGCGGACGGGUGAGUAACACGUAGGAAUCUACCCACAGAGGGGGACAACAGCGGGAAACUGCUGCUAAUACCCCAUAUGGCGCGAGCUGAAAAGAGUAUCGCCUGUGGAUGAGCCUGCGUCCGAUUAGCUAGUUGGUGGGGUAAUGGCCUACCAAGCGACGAUCAGUAGCUGGUCUGAGAGGACGAUCAGCCACACUGGGACUGAGACACGGCCAGACUCCUACGGGAGGCAGCAGUGGGGAAUUUUCCGCAAUGGGCGCAAGCCUGACGGAGAACGCCGCGUGAGGGAGGAAGGCCCUUGGGUUGUAAACCUCUUUUCUCAGGGAAGAAUUUGACGGUACCUGAGGAAUAAGCAUCGGCUAACUUCGUGCCAGCAGCCGCGGUAAGACGA